rnacentral:rRNA from 1 species
GACGAGGGUCCCUAGCGUUGUUCGGAAUCAUUGGGCGUAAAGCGUGUGUAGGCGGCUUCGAAAGUCAGAUGUGAAAGCCCCGGGCUUAACCUGGGAAGUGCAUUUGAUACUACGGAGCUAGAGUAUCGGAGAGGAUAGUGGAAUUCCACGUGUAGCAGUGAAAUGCGUAGAGAUGUGGAGGAACACCGAUGGCGAAGGCAGCCCCCUGGGUCAACACUGACGCUCAUGCACGAAAGCGUGGGGAGCAAACAGG